UACGGAGGGGACUAGCGUUGUUCGGAAUUACUGGGCGUAAAGCGCACGUAGGCGGAUUUGUUAGUCAGGGGUGAAAUCCCGAGGCCCAACCUCGGAACUGCCUUUGAUACUGCAAAUCUCGAGUCCGGAAGAGGUGAGUGGAAUUCCUAGUGUAGAGGUGAAAUUCGUAGAUAUUAGGAAGAACACCAGUGGCGAAGGCGGCUCACUGGUCCGGUACUGACGCUGAGGUGCGAAAGCGUGGGGAGCAAACAGG
rnacentral:rRNA from 1 species